AGUCAGCCUAUCCUUUGAAGAUUUGAAGCCAGGCAUUGACUUCUUCCUAGCUCUGAAUGUCCUAGAUAGCAUCUUUUUCUAUUAUAAGACUAUUUUGUCUACAUUGAAAAUCUGUU
rnacentral:miRNA from 1 species